rnacentral:rRNA from 1 species
GUAGAACGCUGAAGAGAGGAGCUUGCUCUUCUUGGAUGAGUUGCGAACGGGUGAGUAACGCGUAGGUAACCUGCCUUGUAGCGGGGGAUAACUAUUGGAAACGAUAGCUAAUACCGCAUAACAAUGGAUGACACAUGUCAUUUAUUUGAAAGGGGCAAUUGCUCCACUACAAGAUGGACCUGCGUUGUAUUAGCUAGUAGGUGAGGUAACGGCUCACCUAGGCGACGAUACAUAGCCGACCUGAGAGGGUGAUCGGCCACACUGGGACUGAGACACGGCCCAGACUCCUACGGGAGGCAGCAGUAGGGAAUCUUCGGCAAUGGGGGCAACCCUGACCGAGCAACGCCGCGUGAGUGAAGAAGGUUUUCGGAUCGUAAAGCUCUGUUGUAAGUCAAGAACGAGUGUGAGAGUGGAAAGUUCACACUGUGACGGUAGCUUACCAGAAAGGGACGGCUAACUACGUGCCAGCAGCCGCGGUAAUACGUAGGUCCCGAGCGUUGUCCGGAUUUAUUGGGCGUAAAGCGAGCGCAGGCGGUUUGAUAAGUCUGAAGUUAAAGGCUGUGGCUCAACCAUAGUUCGCUUUGGAAACUGUCAAACUUGAGUGCAGAAGGGGAGAGUGGAAUUCCAUGUGUAGCGGUGAAAUGCGUAGAUAUAUGGAGGAACACCGGUGGCGAAAGCGGCUCUCUGGUCUGUAACUGACGCUGAGGCUCGAAAGCGUGGGGAGCGAACAGGAUUAGAUACCCUGGUAGUCCACGCCGUAAACGAUGAGUGCUAGGUGUUGGAUCCUUUCCGGGAUUCAGUGCCGCAGCUAACGCAUUAAGCACUCCGCCUGGGGAGUACGACCGCAAGGUUGAAACUCAAAGGAAUUGACGGGGGCCCGCACAAGCGGUGGAGCAUGUGGUUUAAUUCGAAGCAACGCGAAGAACCUUACCAGGUCUUGACAUCCCGAUGCUAUUUCUAGAGAUAGAAAGUUACUUCGGUACAUCGGUGACAGGUGGUGCAUGGUUGUCGUCAGCUC